UACGUAGGGCGCAAGCGUUAUCCGGAAUUAUUGGGCGUAAAGAGCUCGUAGGCGGUUUGUCGCGUCUGCCGUGAAAGUCCGGGGCUCAACUCCGGAUCUGCGGUGGGUACGGGCAGACUAGAGUGAUGUAGGGGAGACUGGAAUUCCUGGUGUAGCGGUGAAAUGCGCAGAUAUCAGGAGGAACACCGGUGGCGAAGGCGGGUCUC
rnacentral:rRNA from 1 species